UUGCUAAAUUGAAACACGACUGUACACAGCUCCUAAACUGGAGUGGUCAAUCCCAUCUUGACACACGCACUAACAAGUCAAGUACUUGACUACACCCAGCAGCCUUCCGUCACUGAAUUAAAAAUUUAGGUAGUCCAGUGCCUAAGUGCAGUGAGUUGCUUGCAAGUCACCAUGGUGAUCUCAGGUCGGAGGGAUAUUUAUACCCAUA
rnacentral:lncRNA from 1 species